rnacentral:lncRNA from 1 species
UCCUUAGCAGAGGGUUUUUUUUUUCAAGCUCUAUAAGCCUGCCUGCCCCUACCUUUACAGCUAAGGCUAAUAGCUCCUUUGAUUUUGCGUAGGGAGGGUGGAAGCUCUAUAGGACAUAGCGUAGGGCUAUUUGAAACAACUCUAUAACUGAAAAAGAUAUAGAUAGGCGCGGAUGUUGCCCUAUAGGAAUUGAUAGGUCUUUAGCUUUGGGCUAUUUGGAAGCUAUAUAGGAAGAGAUAGCAGCGGCUGGCUACUAGCUUUGCUUUUGAUAUUAGCUCUUGCUAGUACUUUAGAAGUAAUA